CCUCCCCAAGCUUUGCAGCUCCUCAAACUGGAACUUACCGCCGGGAUCGACGAGGUCCGCACCGCAACCUACCGCCGACAGUGACGAGCUCCUCCGUCGACGUUAACGAGGUCCCGUGCCAGAACAUACCACCUAGACCGACGAGCUCCUCCUUUCCGUCGAAUAGCUCAUCCUUCACCAAAUAAACUGUAACAACAGCUCUCUCACACCCCAGACACCCGAUCAAUAUCUCUAGGAAUCUAUAAGGACCAGCCCAGAACUUCUGCUAAAUCCUGUGAGAACCAUCUUGACAUAAUUAGCAGGCCUAAAGAUUGGGAGAAAGUCCCUGAUCCUAAGAAGUAUUUUGUCCAAUUUUUUGGAACAGAAGAGAUAGAACACCAUCCAUUAGUUGAAAAGGCAGCUCAUCAGCAAGUCAGUAGUGAAGAAUCUGGAGUUGAUUUUGGCAAUCCAAAGCCAAGAGCUUGAUAUUAGCAGCUGGAACAAGGGGAGCGUUGGAGCAGCAAUCUGCUAGAAAGGUCUCUGGGACUUUAUCCAGUGCAAAGCUCACUAGCAGUUUUCCUUCUCCAAAGUUGCAUGCUUCUAUAGGCACAGGUGUGCAGCGCAAAUUGGAUAUGGCUAAACAGGAUGCUAAAAAGAAUGAUAAAUACUUGAAAAGCUCUGCCAAUCAACAAAAAUAUCGGCCCCCUGGAAAGAGCAGUCCUAUGUGAUUGUGGAAUCCCUGAAGGUGGUUAGCUUGCAAGGAUUUGCAGCAAUUUUGGAGCCUAACCUCUGCAGAAUUAUUUCCCACCUACUAUCGUUCCGAACCAUCCAACUAGCAGGAAGAAUAGGACGGGGCUGAUUGUGGGGAUUGUUGUUGGUGGUG